CCUACGGGAGGCAGCAGUGAGGAAUAUUGGUCAAUGGUCGGGAGACUGAACCAGCCAAGCCGCGUGAGGGAUGAAGGUACAGAGUAUCGUAAACCUCUUUUGUCAGGGAACAAAGGCGGGGACGCGUCCCCGGAUGAGUGUACCUGAAGAAAAAGCAUCGGCAAACUCCGUGCCAGCAGCCGCGGUAAUACGGAGGAUGCGAGCGUUAUCCGGAUUUAUGGGGUUUAAAGGGGGCGCAGGCGGUCUGUUCAGUCAGCGGUCAAAGCCAGGGGCUCAACCCCGGCCCGCCGUUGAAACUGGCAGUCUCGAGUUGGAGAGAAGUAUGCGGAAUGCGCGGUGUAGCGGUGAAAUGCAUAGAUAUCGCGCAGAACUCAGAUUGCGAAGGCAGCAUGCCGGCUCCACACUGACGCUGAGGCACGAAAGCGUGGGUAUCGAACAGGAUUAGAUACCCGUGUAGUC
rnacentral:rRNA from 1 species